rnacentral:lncRNA from 1 species
GCUGCCAUUAAUGAGAUUGCUAAGAUGUCAGUGCGCUCUCUUCAUUUUGAUCCACCUCCCGUCCAAUCUACCGUUAGUCCUUCUGCCUAACCUCUCUCCUUUUUUAUAUAUAAAACUAAUCAAAGCAAGUUGUAUGGAUUUUUCCUUUUUUGACUUCAUUUAAUUUGAUUUGUUUCAUAUUCAUGCAUCUUUCGUAUUUAUUUGUUUGCAAUGAUAGUUAUCUCAUUUAUGUACAAUUUGUUGAACAGCCCUUGAUGAUGAAUUGGAAAUUUGAAAUGAAUUGAAUAUUUUUGAGCAGUUUUCAUUCAAUUAGGAGUUUUGUCAGAAUUGUUGAUAUUGUCGGCAAUGUAAGCUGUAUGGGGUUUUUCCUUUUUGGCUUAAUUACACUUUUGAUUUGUUCACCUGGUUCCACAUUCAAGGAAUUCCCCUGCUUGUUUUGAAUGUGAUGCUAAUUAGUCUGUCCAUGUUUUUCCAAAUUCCAAUGUCAGCAAAAUGGAUAAUCUGAUGUUGUCUUUGCUAUGGAUAUUUUUUUUCCUUGUCACUAUCUUUCUUGACAUGGAGGUGGCAUAGCAUAACUCCAUGUUAGCAACAAGAGGGUUGUAGGCACAAUGAAUAUAGAGGGACCAAAUUUGUAUCAAUUUGAAAAACAAUGAGUAAGAUUGUUGAAAUUGGAUGGGGCUGUAAAAAAUGUUCAGGGGCUAUAAAGACCAUGAGCCAGAAUUAAAAGUUUAUGGUGUCUACUCAUAUUUACCCCACAAUUCAAGGAAUGUGCUUUAGUGUAUGCAUUCCUCCCAAAUAGGAAGUAGUGGGGGUUUCACAAAUGAACUUCUGUGAAAUUAGAGAGAACUGAAGUGUAGAAACCUUUCCCCCUUAUCCCGUAGUGGAUAUUAGUCUUGUUUCUCGCAUUCUAUUUAGCUAAAGAAGCAAACUAAUUAUGCUGGCGUUUUUGUGUUGCUAAUUUACUUCAUUGAUGUUAGGCAGCCAUAAUGGCAAAGGAGAAGAAUGUUUUUAUUGUUUGACUGAAAUUUGGCAGAACAAGCAGAAAGACUCACCUCCAUCGGUUUCCCCUUUCCACAAAGGGUCUCCCCUUUCAAAAAUCUCUAUAUGAGUGUUUCCAACCAUGUUGCCCUUAUUUAAUCCCAUUCCAACUAUCUAACGAAUCCCCUCUAACUAACUAUCUAAGUGCCAUUCUGCUAAUAAUUAGGCUUCCCUUUUGCUCUUAUUUGUCUUUCAAUUUUCUGCCAUCAGUAGUUAAUUUUUCAUUAAUGUGAUCACCAAGUGAUUGUCAAGGUUAGUUGAAGCAUUUCUAGAAGACACAGUGGAAAAUGUAAUUUUAAUGUGGGGGUGGUUUGCAUAAUUAUGCUGGCAUUUUUGUGUGAAUUAAUCCAUCUUUCUUGGUUCCAGUUAAUUGACCACGUUUGGUUUGGGUUUCUAUAAUUCAACAUUUCUUCCUUUUGAAAGAAAAUGGAGUGUUAUAGAUUUACUUGUUCCUAUUGAAGUGAAUAGAUUCCUUUUCCAGAAGUAUUGAUGAUGUAUGUUUGGCAAUGGUGUUAGAUUUAUUAGUAAGUAUUGUUAUCAGUAAAACAUGUUGAACCUCAGCUCCUGUCUGAAAUGUUAAUAUUAUCAUACUUGGUGUAUAUAUUCCAGCCUUACGAUUUCAAUGUGUACCCUUUCAGAGAGCAAAGGAAUUUAGUAAAAGUCUGAAGCAAGCUGAGAAAGGAAAAGAAGCAACAGCGUCUAGGCAUGUUUAGACAUUAGAGUGUAGAGCAUUCAACCCUCUGGGUUGCACUUGAAAAUGAUCAAUUGCUUCGGAUCAGAAGUUUGUAUUGAUAAGCCAAAAAAAGUACUCAGAUUUUCAUGCUUCCGUAGUGGGGAUAAAGUAUGUAUUUUAAUAGGUUGUGGUUCUUUCAAAUUUUGCAGUCGAUUUCAAAGUCUCGAUGAAUUGAGGCGUAGUAAAUUGAAGCACAAUCUUUUUGUGGUUUGUUCAAGUUUUAUAUCUCCCAUGUUUAUUUACAUUUGUGUCUUGAUUAUAUCAAUACCAAGUUGGCUUAGCCAGCUUAUAAAGGGUAGUGAGAAGGAAGAAUUCCUGCAAUGUCAU